rnacentral:lncRNA from 1 species
CCAACUUCCAGAGGACAGCCUUGGACAUCUGUGUAAAAAGCCAUUUUGUGACUCUGCCUAUCACCUUCUCCACAUGCAGAUCCAGCACAUGCUUCCCAGUCCCCAGGUCCCAGACAAGGAUGGGCACCAGCCCGGAGCAGCCCACACUAUUGGGGGCGCCCAUGUCUCUUAUGCCUCAGAAAGUCCCCGACCCAGCAGGAAAGCAGAGAGAAGGGAUCCAUGGAUAUGCUGGCUUGCCCCUACUUCUCACCAAUGUUGUCCCAGGUUGAGUGAGGGAAAGGAGAAAUAUGGGCUGUGAUAUGGACAGCAAGACAGGUGAGCUGCCUGGACAUCUGGUCAACCUUACCUCCCAUUUGCCAUUGAGAUGCACUCUGCACCAGGCCUUCCAAAAUACCUGCCAUCCCCCAAAUUGGCCAUGUUUUCCUUAAAGGACUUUGCUGGAGAAAGGAAUCGUCUUUGUCUAGACUCUAGAGAAAACUUGAGGGGAGGUUUACCAGCCACACAGCCUUACAUUCAUCCGGAAGAACAGGCAAGCCUGCAAUUCUGUCCAUCUCAACUGAGACAGCAACUAUCUCAACUGAGACAGCAACUAUCUCAACUGAGACAGCAGCCAGGGAUGUGUGUGGAAAAGCCUUGCUAUAGACAUUUGUGUCCCCUCAAAUUCAUGUGUUGAAAUCCUAGUCCACAACGCAAUGGUGUUUGAAGGGGAGGGCUCUGGGAGGUGAAUGGGUCAUGAAGGCAGAGACCUCACAAAUGGGAUUAGUGCCCUUAUAAAGGGACCCCAGAGAAUUCCCAUCUCCCUUCUACCAUAGGAGGACACAGGAAGAGGAUAAGUACCUGUAAACCAGAAGGCAAGCCCUCACCAUAUACCAAAUCUGCCAGCACCUAGAGAGUGGGACUCCCAUCCACCCUAAGUGUGAGAUAUAAAUUUGUGUUAUUGACAUGCCACCCAACCUAGGGUAUUCUGUGAUAGCAGCCCAAACAGAUUAAGACAAGCCUCCAAUGUAGAAUUUAAAGGAAAUGGUUAGGAACCAGUUUUCUGACUUAAACCCCUGAUCUGGGGGCUUUUAUUUGCUUUGGGAAUAUACAAUUUUGAGAAAGUGGAGGAAGGGGGAAUUUGUGAAUGAUUGCUUUAAAGAAAAUUAAGAUGCUAUGAAUCCCAAUCUACACUGCCACGUGUAGAGAGUGAGACGUGCUUUCUGUCAGCUCAAGCCUAGGGAAGAGGCUGCCCUCAGACCAUCGAAGGAAUAUGAAGAUGGUCUCUGUACUUAGAGGACACUGUGCACUGCACAGAAAUCUGGGCAGCAGGAGAGGGCAUACAGCAGGGAUGGACCUGCACCCCCAGAGUUUACAGGAGUGAGAUGCAGACCAUGAGGGAAAGCCAGCCUGGGUCCAUUUUAAAGCCUAGGAGGGUGUGAGGGCUCCAACAGUGAGAUGGUACGUGGAGAAUAUCAAAUAACUAGGACAAAAGCAGCAUGGGUUGCGGGGAUAAUUGCAUAGUGUGCAUCUAGGGGGCAGCAGUGGGGUUCCCAAGCAGAGACAUUCCCGAGUAGUCCACCAGAGCAUCAAAGAAAGAGUCAGCUUUUUAGUUUCCUGGUGAUGCAGCAGGUUAAGGAUCUGGCAUUGUCACUGCAGUGGCUCAGGUCACUGCUAUGGCUCUGGCUUGAUCCCUGGCCGGGGAACUUCCACAUGCUAUGGGUGGCAGGGUGGUGGGGGGAAGAAAAGGAAAGAAACAAAGAGUCAGCUCAAAAUAUCUGCAGCCCAGGCAUGUGGAGAAAAUGGCAGUUCAAUUUAGAGCUGUCCUUUUCCUCCUUCCCCUCCCCUCUUUCCACCCAGUGUCAGUAACAGCAGUUACAGGAUCAGACAGAAGGAGGACAUAAGAACAUGUCUGCUCUAGCAAAGGGUCAUCCACAGUGAGUCUGUGCAAGGAACACAAUCACAUGCUAAUUAAAUUCAGAGAGUUAAUGAUUGUCAGGGUCUGGCUAUCUUAAUUUCUGAAAUUUGUUUGCAACUAACAUAACCAUUGGAUUGUCCACUGCCUAAGAGAGAGCAGAAGAGCCAUGGACCUGCCCAAAUUUUUAUCAGAGGCAAGGGAAAUUCAUCCCCCGCUACACCCAAUAAACUCAAAGGAGCAAUGAGAGAUCA